UCGGAUGUGGUGUAAAGGCUAACAUUAGCGCCGCACAUUAUUCUAGUCCGUCAUAGAGUACUGCGCGCUAGCUCGGGGUUCGAAUCCCCGCAUCUGUA